AGAGUUUGAUCCUGGCUCAGGAUGAACGCCGACAGAAUGCUUAACACAUGCAAGUCUACUUGAACUUCGGUUUGGGUGGCGGACGGGUGAGUAACGCGUAAAGAACUUACCUCACAGUUAGGGACAACAUUUGGAAACGAAUGCUAAUACCUGAUAUUAUGAUUUUAGGGCAUCCUAAGAUUAUGAAAGCUAUAUGCGCUGUGAGAGAGCUUUGCGUCCCAUUAGCUAGUUGGAGAGGUAACGGCUCACCAAGGCGAUGAUGGGUAGCCGGCCUGAGAGGGUGAACGGCCACAAGGGGACUGAGACACGGCCCUUACUCCUACGGGAGGCAGCAGUGGGGAAUAUUGGACAAUGGACCAAAAGUCUGAUCCAGCAAUUCUGUGUGCACGAUGACGUUUUUCGGAAUGUAAAGUGCUUUCAGUUGGGAAGAAAAAAAUGACGGUACCAACAGAAGAAGUGACGGCUAAAUACGUGCCAGCAGCCGCGGUAAUACGUAUGUCACAAGCGUUAUCCGGAUUUAUUGGGCGUAAAGCGCGUCUAGGUGGUUAUGUAAGUCUGAUGUGAAAAUGCAGGGCUCAACUCUGUAUUGCGUUGGAAACUGCAUGACUAGAGUACUGGAGAGGUAAGCGGAACUACAAGUGUAGAGGUGAAAUUCGUAGAUAUUUGUAGGAAUGCCGAUGGGGAAGCCAGCUUACUGGACAGAUACUGACGCUAAAGCGCGAAAGCGUGGGUAGCAAACAGGAUUAGAUACCCUGGUAGUCCACGCCGUAAACGAUGAUUACUAGGUGUUGGGGGUCGAACCUCAGCGCCCAAGCUAACGCGAUAAGUAAUCCGCCUGGGGAGUACGUACGCAAGUAUGAAAC
rnacentral:rRNA from 1 species